AGUGAACGCUGGCGGUAGGCCUAACACAUGCAAGUCGAACGGCAGCACAGUAAGAGCUUGCUCUUACGGGUGGCGAGUGGCGGACGGGUGAGGAAUACAUCGGAAUCUACUUUUUCGUGGGGGAUAACGUAGGGAAACUUACGCUAAUACCGCAUACGACCUACGGGUGAAAGCAGGGGAUCUUCGGACCUUGCGCGAUUGAAUGAGCCGAUGUCGGAUUAGCUAGUUGGCGGGGUAAAGGCCCACCAAGGCGACGAUCCGUAGCUGGUCUGAGAGGAUGAUCAGCCACACUGGAACUGAGACACGGUCCAGACUCCUACGGGAGGCAGCAGUGGGGAAUAUUGGACAAUGGGCGCAAGCCUGAUCCAGCCAUACCGCGUGGGUGAAGAAGGCCUUCGGGUUGUAAAGCCCUUUUGUUGGGAAAGAAAAGCAGCAGGUUAAUACCCCGCUGUUCUGACGGUGCCCAGAGAAUAAGCACCGGCUAACUUCGUG
rnacentral:rRNA from 1 species